rnacentral:misc_RNA from 1 species
GAUGAAGAACGUAGUGAAAUGCGAUAAGUAAUGUGAAUUGCAGAAUUCAGUGAAUCAUCGAAUCUUUGAACGCACCUUGCGCCCUUUGGCCAUUCCGAAGGGCAUGCCUGUUUUAGUAUCAUGAACACCUCAACUCUUUAUGGUUUUCCAUGAUGAGCUUGGACUCUGGGGGUUUUGCUGGCUCACAGUCGGCUCCUCUAAAAUAAAUCAGCUUACCAGUGUUUGGUGGGUAUCAUGGGUGUGAUAACUAUCUACGCUUGUGGUUUUUCCACCAGGUAACCUUCAGCAGUGGAGGUUCGCUGGAGCUCAUAGAUGUCUCUCCUCAGUGAGGACAGCCCUUUGAACGUUUGAUCUCAAAUCAGGUAGGACUACCCGCUGAACUUAAGCAUAUCAAUAAGCGGAGGA